rnacentral:rRNA from 1 species
ACUUAGUGGCGGACGGGUGAGUAACGCGUGAGAAUCUACCUUUAGGACGGGGACAACAAUUGGAAACGAUUGCUAAUACCCGAUAUGCCCUUCGGGGUGAAAUGUUUUUUCGCCUAAAGAUGAGCUCGCGUCCGAUUAGCUAGUAGGUAGUGUAAUGGACUACCUAGGCGAUGAUCGGUAGCUGGUUUGAGAGGACAAUCAGCCACACUGGGACUGAGACACGGCCCAGACUCCUACGGGAGGCAGCAGUGGGGAAUUUUCCGCAAUGGGCGCAAGCCUGACGGAGCAAUACCGCGUGGGGGAGGAAGGUCUGUGGAUUGUAAACCCCUUUUCUCAGGGAAGAAGCUCUGACGGUACCUGAGGAAUCAGCAUCGGCUAACUCCGUGCCAGCAGCCGCGGUAAUACGGAGGAUGCAAGCGUUAUCCGGAAUUAUUGGGCGUAAAGCGUCCGCAGGCGGCUAGAUAAGUCUGCUUUCAAAGAGUGGGGCUCAACCCCAUAGGGGGAGUGGAAACUGUUUAGCUAGAGUAUGGUAGGGGCAGAGGGAAUUCCC